GCCUCAGGGAGCAGAGCUCUGGGGGCUUCUCCACCAUGGCCUGGAUUCCUCUCCUGCUCAGCUUGUUCACUCUCUGCCAAGGUGCUUGGGCCAAGUUUGUUCUGACUCAGCCAGCAUCAGUGUCUGGGUCUCUGGGGCAGUCAGUCACGAUCUCCUGCACUCGAAGCAGUGGCAACAUUGGUAGCUACUAUGUGAGCUGGUACCAACAGCACCAGGGCCAGGCCCCCAAACUCAUCAUCUAUGAGGAUACUAAGCGUCCCUCGGGGAUCCCAAAAAGAUUCUCUGCCUCCCUAGACACCUCAGCCAACUCUGCCUCCCUGAGCGUCUCUGGUCUCCAGGCUGAGGACGAGGCUGACUACUACUGUUUAUCCUAUGACUCUAGUAGCUAUAGCACAGUGAUCCAGGCCUGUGGGGAAGUGAGACAAAAACCCCUGGGCUCCACUUUUCAGUUCCAUCAGUGA